UGUCCAGAGAGAGCCUGACCUGGAGACUGACUGAAAUAUGGCCAGAGAAAGGAGGACUUUCAAGAGGAGCAAGGAUCUGCUAAUUAUUGGACGAUACCAAAGGCAGCAAAAGAGAAACUGGUAAAAUGGAUGAAAGAUUAAACUGAGAGGAGGCAAGACUUUGGAAGGAAAUGAAACUGAAAAAUGUUUCAGAAGAAAUGAAGCUGAGAGGCAGAGCCAAGAUGACCGAGUAAAGGCAGAAAAAAAAAAAAGAAACUAAACACGUCUCUGCCUUUCUUGUAUUUUUCCAUCUUGCUUCCUCACAGAAAAUGAAAAGGACAUCUUUCAACUGUCUUGUUAGUGGGAAGAAGACUAAGCUGGAUGUCGAAUCAUAUCUCAUUCUAUUGGGGGAAAACAACAACAAACAAAACCAAGAGUCUCCAAAGAGCCAAGCUUGGCUCUGAGCUGAAGAAUCUGCAUUGGAAUCUUGACUGCCAUUUACUCCGCUCCUGCUUGCCCACAAAGGUCAGAAUCUCCAGCAGUUCACUCUCUACCAGCUUCUUGGCCAGCUCCUGAUCAGCUGCCAUCAGGUUGUAGGCAAUGACGAUGCCCCGGUGUUGGACUGACAGGCGGUCGUGAAGGCAGAGCCGCUGCAGGAUCUCUAGCCACUGGGAUGUCUAAAAGGAGAGAGAAGGCAAGCUGAGAGAUAAAAGCAGAUUCGUGAGUCCCAGAAGGGCUUCAUAAUUCUGGAGCCCAUCCCGCUGUGUGUCUAGGAGCCUUACCAAUGGACGUACUACCUCAUACACCUGCAGGAAAUGGAGAGCAGAAGGAAAUGGCACAGCUUUGAUGGGAGCCACUAGACCAACAAAUGAUAUACAUCCAUCAGGGAGCAUACUCCAUAUGGACAUAAUUACCAAGAGAAACAAAACUUCAAGAAGAAAGACCUCUGGAAAGAGAAUAUUUGGAUUAUGAAGACCAGACUCUGGCAACCUAAAAAAAGACACUGUAACCAUGGAAAGCUGUAAGAGGAUCCUGCAAAAAGAGGAAGGAAUUCCAGGCCCUUCAGUGCUAAGAGUAGUGAACUCCUUUGGCUACAUGUGUAUUCUACACAUUAUAUUCAAAGUCUGAGCCUGUUCUUCCUAUGGAUGCUGUGUGUAUAUUUGGUUUUU